GAAUAUUGGACAAUGGGGGGAACCCUGAUCCAGCCAUGCCGCGUGUGUGAAGAAGGCCUUUUGGUUGUAAAGCACUUUAAGCGAGGAGGAGGCUACUCUAGUUAAUACCUAGGGAUAGUGGACCGUACUCGCAGAAGCAGCACCGGCGAACGCUGUGCCAGCAGCCGCGGGAAUACAGAGGGUGCAAGAGUGAAGCGGAUUUACUGGGCGUAAAGCGCGCGUAGGUGGCAAAUUAAGUAAAAUGUGAAAUCCCCGAGCUUAACUUGGGAAUUGCAUUCGAUACUGGUUGGCUAGAGUAUGGAGAGGAUGGUAGAAUUCCAGGUGUAGCGGUGAAAUGCGUAGAGAUCUGGAGGAAUACCGAUGGCGAAGGCAGCCAUCUGGCCUAAUACUGACACUGAGGUGCGAAAGCAUGGGGAGCAAACA
rnacentral:rRNA from 1 species